CUUUUUCUUUGUUAUUUUCUCCAAAUACAAAGAUUAAACACAGAGAAAUAUCACAACCCAACGAAAGAGAGAGAGAAACUUCUCUACCUCUCUCAUUAUGGAUUGUGAUUUAUAGCCUUAUUGUCUUUCUCCAAUUCUCGGUUCCUCUUCUCGGACUUGUUCCCUCAUGUUCCGGCAGAUGGGAUCAUCUUUCCGGCAAUUUCUUCAGAUUCCUGCUCUCUGAUUUUUAUCUGUUUUUCUUUUGCCUCAAGGUCUUUUAUCCUUCUUCACUUGUUUUCAUUUUAGUUAUGGAUUAAUGUCUGUUUAGUUUUCUGACAGAAUGAAGAAAAAAAAAUAGAGAUUUUUUUUAAGAAAAAAAAAAUUCAUUUCUUUAGUUUGUGAAAGGCUGAAAGAUAAGCAGCUUAAAAGUUGUGUUUCUUUUGUUUUUUUCCCCCCUAAAUUUUGGUCAAGAUUUCAUCUGGGUUUGUUUGGUUUCUGGGAAAAUAUUGGAAAGAAAGAAUUUUGAGUAAUAAGCUUCAAUCAUGUCGAAUUAUGUUUGCCUUCUGUGUUGAGCAUAUGCCAUUUUUUAGCUAUGAUCUUCAAACAAUAUAUUAAGAGAAUUAUAGAAGUCAUACCUUUUAAUUAUACUGUUUCAGUAAUACAUUUCUCAGCUGAAAGGACAGAGGCCAGAGAAUAGGAGUUUGGUUUCCUUCCUGAGAAAAUGUGUGGAUGAAUUUCAAGUGAAAAUAUAGCAGGAUAAUGACUUUCUCUUUUUUGAAUAAUUAAGCUAGAUAUACUCAUUUAUUACUCAGCUGAAUUCUGGUUUAUUAUUUAUUUUAAAGAUUUACCGGAAAAAUACAUGAUUGAAGAUGAUUCUCUUACCCUCUCUUUUCUUUUUUCCUAAUCUUGAUUUUCUUGGCAAAAGAACAAAAGGGUCAACCUCUGUUUGGUUGAUACAUAUUGUUGGGGAGAAAAAAAAGCUGAAUACCUUUCCCUUUUAGCUUUUGCUUGCUGUAGAUUGACAAUCUCAAACACAACCCAGGCAUUUAGUUGUAUUAGGUAUGUUUCAGUCGGUACUUUUUUAAAUCUUUCCUAUGGCUUGGCUGGCAAUGGUUUAUAGAUGCAAUUCAAAUUUUACCCUUCCGGCGAAACCAAAACAAUAACAGUAACGGAGCUGCCUGCCAGAAAAGUCUAAAACCUAUAGCCAUAGGGAGGGGGUUCUUUAUAUUUGGUUUACUGUUCUUUUGCUCUUGGCUUUCCUGCAAUAUUCUGGAGACAAUAUUGGAAUUCCAUGUCAGAUUGAAUAUUCUCUGUGAUGUCUUCCAGUUUUACAGUUUUUGGUUUUCACUGUUAUUAAAUUGUAAGAUUCUUGGCUUUCUGAGUCAGAUCACAUCUUUUAUUUCCCUCCACUGUAUAUAUUCAAUGUACUUUAACCACCGUUCUGGUUCUUAGCAAAAUAUUUUUGAGUAAAAAAACUGCAACUUGGCUACUUCUAUUGAGAAUAUUUUAGCAUUUUUUUUUCCUUUUCUAGUCAUUCUUGUACCAUGCUUAUGUGCUUAUUAUUUUUUCUUUAAAUUUUUAGGUUUUUGAAUCUGCAAAAAGGUAGGACACUACGUCAUUCUGGUGUCCAUUGGACAUUGAACUUUAAGCGUAGCAAUGGGGCAUCUAUCCUCCAUGUUCAAUGGGUUAGCAAGGUCAUUUUCAAUAAGAAAAGGGAAGAGUAUUGGGAAUGGUGAUGGAAGGGAAGCUGCAGAAGCAAUGGCAAAAGAAGCAAAGAAGAACGACUUGAUAUUGCGAUCUUCUGGCUUUGUAAGUGUUGAUGGUUCAAAGAAUUUUGCAUCAGUUUUCUCGAAGAGAGGUGAGAAAGGAGUGAACCAGGAUAGCUUCAUUGUGUGGGAGGAAUUUGGAUGCCAAGAGGACAUGAUAUUUUGUGGUAUAUUUGAUGGGCAUGGUCCAUGGGGACAUGUUGUUGCCAAAAGAGUUAAAGAAUCUGUUCCUUCUUCUUUGCUAUGCAAUUGGCAAGAAACUCUUGCAUUGACAUCACCUGACAUUGAUUUCGAAAUGGAAUUGAAUAGAGAUCUCCAUCAUUUUGAUAUUUGGAAGCAGUCCUACUUGAAAACUUAUGCUGCAAUUGAUCAGGACCUUAAGCAGCACCCUGACAUCGAUGCCUUCUGCAGUGGUACUACAGCUUUAACAAUCGUUAAACAGGGUGACCAACUUGUUAUAGCAAAUGUUGGGGAUUCUCGAGCUGUGUUGGCAACAACUUCUGAUGAUGGCAGUUUGGUGCCAGUUCAGCUUACCAUCGAUUUCAAACCCAACUUACCCCAGGAGGCUGAACGAAUAAUACAGUCCAACGGUCGAGUAUUCUGCUUACAUGACGAGCCAGGGGUGUAUAGGGUAUGGAUGCCAAAUGGGAAGAGGCCAGGACUAGCAUUAUCAAGAGCCUUUGGUGACUACUGUGUAAAAGAUUUUGGGCUCAUUUCCAUACCUGAUGUGACCCAAAGAAUCAUAACAAGCAGAGAUCAUUUUGUCAUUUUGGCAACGGAUGGGCUAUGGGAUGUUGUUUCCAAUCAAGAAGCAGUGCAGAUUGUUUCUUCAACAACAGAUAGGGAAAAAUCGGCUAAAACGUUGGCGCAAUAUGCUGUUCGUGCAUGGAAAUGUAAGAAAAGGGGCAUUGCAAUCGAUGAUAUCUCAGCCAUAUGCCUCUUCUUUCAGGAUUCACCAUCUCAAAAGGUUGACCCUUUGAUGGUCUGGAAACAAGCACAGGUGACCAAAACGGCGUAGUGGCUGGUUGAAAAAAAAAAAAAAAAAAAAA
rnacentral:misc_RNA from 1 species